rnacentral:rRNA from 1 species
CAGCAGCCGCGGGAACACGUAGGGUGCAAGCGUUAAUCGGAAUUACUGGGCGUAAAGCGUGCGCAGGCGGUUAUAUAAGACAGAUGUGAAAUCCCCGGGCUCAACCUGGGAACUGCAUUUGUGACUGUAUAGCUAGAGUACGGCAGAGGGGGAUGGAAUUCCGCGUGUAGCAGUGAAAUGCGUAGAUAUGCGGAGGAACACCGAUGGCGAAGGCAAUCCCCUGGGCCUGUACUGACGCUCAUGCACGAAAGCGUGGGGAGCAAACAGGAUUAGAGACCCCUGUAGUCCCUGUCUCUUAUAC